AGCAUUUAAGGAGGGGCAGAGCUACAAUCCGACGCCAGAGUGUUUGCCAGUUAUGGAAGAACCUGCCUGGAAACCUGAAGACCUGGAAGGGUUUCUCAAGCGUGAAACCAAGUUGUCUGUUCUCAGAAGAACCCUGGAAAUCCAACUCAGUCUGAAACCUGCCUGCCCGCUCUCAGCAAGAGCUGAGGGAGAAGCUCUGAACCUGCUCAGUAAGAUUAUCUGCUCUGCCCUGCCUCUGCCUAGCCCUCUGCCUGCCUUCAGCCUCUGGACCUUCCUGGUUCCCCCCUUCUACCGCUCUGCUCAUCUCUGAUCAGUGAAAACCAGUCGUGACCAGACCCGGACCCAGUUAUCCCCAGAAAUCAUUGUUCUUUAUUGUGAUUCAUCUUCAAUAAACUUGUGAACUUUU